rnacentral:rRNA from 1 species
AUACAGAGGGUGCGAGCGUUAAUCGGAAUUACUGGGCGUAAAGAGUACGUAGGCGGUUGCUUAAGUCAGAUGUGAAAGCCCCGGGCUCAACCUGGGAACUGCAUUUGAAACUGAGUGACUAGAGUUUAAGAGAGGGGAGUAGAAUUCCGGGUGUAGCGGUGAAAUGCGUAGAGAUCCGGAGGAAUACCAGUGGCGAAGGCGGCUCCCUGGCUUAAAACUGACGCUGAGGUACGAAAGCGUGGGUAGCAAACAGGAUUAGAUACCCGAGUAGUCC